GUGGACAUGCUGUCCAGAAUUGGUGUUUCCUUAGACUUCUGCCUCUCUUGAUUGGGGACAAAAUUUAAAAUCCAGUUGAAAAUGAAGUUUGGCAAUUUGUGUUGCUGCUAAGGCAAAAAGUUGAAAUUGUUUGUGCUCCUGCCAUUGCAACUAGUCAGAUGGCCUACUUGAAAGUCCUUAUUGAGGAGUAUUUGCCGAGUCGACAGUAUUGUUUUCCUAAUCACCCACUUAAGCCGAAACAUCAUGUAACCCGUUAGAAAAAUAGCAACGUUUUAAAAGAGUCCUGUAGCUUUAAGAAAAGGGAGGCUCCCUACCUAACUGUUAGGAGGACUUGUUUUGCGUCCCUAAUUAGUUUUAUUGGCUGUAACAGGCAGUAAUGUCUUAAGAUCAUUCUGGAAAAUAGUUAGCCCCGCCCACUCCCAGGGACUUGGUUGAGACUGUUUGUCGCACAGCAAGAGGGGAGAACGGGAGAAAGAAAAAGACGAUUAGAAGUAACAAAUCAUAAUCGUUAAUUUAAGCAGUAAACCUAAAGAGUAGCUCCGUAAAUGACCCACGGACCAAAUAUUUUCCAGAUCGCACACUUCAAUCUCUUUCCUUGGGAUCUUGGCUGGGUUUUUUGGAUACCUGAGAAGAACCCUGUGAACCUAGGAUUCUCUCCCUGACGAGGGAGAUGGCGAGCCGACCAGCUUGAUCAACUUGAUUCAUCUUCAUCCAUUGAGGAAGAACCCCCUGAUACCCCUUGUUUCUCCCAACCCCACUCUGGUGUGGUAGGAUUGUGAUUGAGAAAUUACACAAUUUUAUUUGAUACUUUAUUUUUUGUAAAAAGGGUACACCCAACCAACAAUACUGACUUGAAACUAACUAAAUUGAACUUGACCAAUUGAACUGAACCAGACUGAACAGAAGACAUUCAGAACUGAAUGGACAGUGAAUACAGUUACAACACUCAGGACAUUGAUAUGAAGACAAAUGAAUGUGUUUGAAUGUGAUAAGCUUUACAUAUUGUCAUUACGUUUUCUUUAAUACAGUUCUAACCAUUUUGCACUUACUUUCUGGCUCCGGUUGUUCAUUGUGUCCAUCUCUUCAUUCAUAACCUCUCCUUACGAACCUAGCUUUAACCUGAAAAUAUUUACCUACUGCUAAGUGACCCUUUAGGUGGGUUACAGUCAUCAUAUACGUGACUAUCCUGAACUGAUACUUUGCUUUGGGCCUCUUAUUCGCUCUUGGACCCUUAGGUUUGAGAGUAAACACACUUUUUAAACAGUGUGCUCGCAAAUUACACAACUUCAAGAAUUUGUGAUCUGUUGAUUAUUUAGGCCUCCAGCUACGUAGCUCUGUGGCUGUACACAAUGUCACCGUUAAAGGCACAAGCUACAAAAAAAGCCACGUGUGUUGUCUUUGAGAAGAAUGAUGAGGGACUAGUCUUUGGCAAGAUAGAACUGAUUCUUGUUUGCAACAGUUGUGUUUACUUUGUCACAGAGAAAUGCCAGUCUGAUUUCCUUUUUGAUCAGGGGAUUUACUGCCUAAAGAUGGGCUCAGAGAACCCCAUUUCAAAUUAUUUCUGCCUCGAACAUGCAAGCCUGCUUGACUAUUACCCUUUGCCUGUGUACAACAUGUUUGGUCUGUCUCUAAUAGCCCUUCGCCACUCCUUUCCUUCAGAAUGUCUGAUAUAAGUGAGAGCAUCAAGGACGCAGUCAUUUCUGUCCUGCCAAGUGUGCCAGAAGAAACGAUCUUACACCAGGGAGUGGAAAGCAAAGAUGACUUGCAGUACAUAAGAGAACAGGAAAUUGCAGAGGUUAUUCGACCAAUUCAGUGCAGAAAACUUUUAAAUGCAUGGAAAUGAGCAGAUGCCAUAAGUUGUGCUACCCCCCUACUCCAGUCCCCAGAAGGCAGUUCAUCACUGUCAAGCUCCUUGAGAUCCAGUAGCCCUUCACCAUCACAUUCCAUUCCAUUCCAUAACUUGGCGUCAUUUUGAUGUCAAUACUUUUGAGUAACUUGGCAUUUUUGUUGUAAACGUGUUUUUUAUGAGAUAUCAUUUCUUUUUGCAAAGAGUUUUAUUAUGAGAGUGAGAAAUGCGAAGUGACCCUGUAAGAACGUUUGUGGAUUAUGGCUAUCCUUGUGUGAAUUUGUACAGUCUGAUGAGCGUGUACUGUUUAGCAGUUUCGGUUUGCUAUCUAUGUAAAACAGUGGCUGUGACAAAGGGUGCGGUGGCGUAUAAGUGUAAAACGUAUCAGAGAUGCAUGUGAAAUAUGGCCAGUGUAUGUACUCACGUCCAUCCAACUGACAAAAGAAUCAGCAAGCCCGUAGAAUUAUAACUCUCUAGGUCGCAACUUGUGUAGCCUUCUGUCCUGCUCCGUUGUCUGUUAUUUCGUGGAGAUGCACUUUUAGUGUUUGUAAGGUUUAUAAGGCAUUUUGAUAGGCUUAUCUGCAGGUAGGAAUCCUCUUCGCUGUUUUGCUAAACUAGAACCGGAAAACAUGAUAGUGGAGAAUAGGAGCAGACGCAUAUGUCCCAGCAGGUUUUGCAUAUGAGAAAAUAACAACAGUGUGAGAGAAAUUAGGGUGAAAUUAUUAAAUUUCGGAGUUGAAACAAUAUGUUUUUAGCAGAAUGGGCAUGUAGGUGAAAGUUGACAUGAUCACGGAGUAUAGUGCGAAGUAAAUGGAGUGACCAUGAGCGAGCUUAUAUUCCUUAUCGAACGGUAUAUAUAACAGUCGCUAUAAAGUGCCAGCUGUUAAAG